CUUGGUCAUUUAGAGGAAGUAAAAGUCGUAACAAGGUUUCCGUAGGUGAACCUGCGGAAGGAUCAUUAUUGAAAUUAUAGGCGAGGGUUGUAGCUGGCCUCUCGGGGCAUGUGCACGCCUGAGCCCUUAAUCCACACACACCUGUGAACCUAUUGUAAGGGCCCGUAAAAAAGGCCUUUACGUCUUAUCAUCAACCCAUCGUAUGUCUCAUAGAAUGUAAAUAUAUGUCCUCGCCUUAAACAGCGUUGAUAAACUUAUACAACUUUCAACAACGGAUCUCUUGGCUCUCGCAUCGAUGAAGAACGCAGCGAAAUGCGAUAAGUAAUGUGAAUUGCAGAUUUUCAGUGAAUCAUCGAAUCUUUGAACGCACCUUGCGCUCCUUGGUAUUCCGAGGAGCAUGCCUGUUUGAGUGUCAUUAAAUUCUCAAACUCCGAUCGAUUUGUUUCGACUUCGGGGCUUGGAUUUGGAGCGUGCUGGCGUCGGUCGGCUCCUCUUAAACGCAUCAGCGGAAUCUAACGUUCCGGACGUCAGUGUGAUAAUCACGUUGCGCUGUCUUUCGGUCCGAAAAGCCCGCUCACAAUGGUCUUCGGGCAACUUCAUAUCAAAUUUGACCUCAAAUCAGGUAGGACUACCCGCUGAACUUAAGCAUAUCAAUAAGCGGAGGAAAAGAAACUAACAAGGAUUCCCCUAGUAACUGCGAGUGAAGCGGGAAAAGCUCAAAUUUAAAAUCUGGCGGUCUUGCGGCCGUCCGAGUUGUAAUCUGGAGAAGCGUUUAUCCGCGUCGGACCGUGUACAAGUCUCCUGGAAGGGAGCGUCGUAGAGGGUGAGAAUCCCGUCUUUGACACGGACAACCGGUGCUUUUGUGAUGCGCUCUCGAAGUUCGAGUUGUUUGGGAAU
rnacentral:sRNA from 1 species